rnacentral:rRNA from 1 species
AUUGAACGCUGGCGGCAGGCCUAACACAUGCAAGUCGAACGGUAACAGGAAGAAGCUUGCUUCUUUGCUGACGAGUGGCGGACGGGUGAGUAAUGUCUGGGAAACUGCCUGAUGGAGGGGGAUAACUACUGGAAACGGUAGCUAAUACCGCAUAACGUCGCAAGACCAAAGAGGGGGACCUUCGGGCCUCUUGCCAUCGGAUGUGCCCAGAUGGGAUUAGCUAGUAGGUGGGGUAACGGCUCACCUAGGCGACGAUCCCUAGCUGGUCUGAGAGGAUGACCAGCCACACUGGAACUUGGACACGGUCCAGACUCCUACGGGAGGCAGCAGUGGGGAAUAUUGCACAGUGGGCGCAAGCCUUAUGCAGCCAUGCCGCGUGUAUGAAGAAGGCCUUCGGGUUGUAAAGUACGUUCAGCGGGGAGGAAGGGAGUAAAGUUAAUACCUUUACUCAUUGACGUUACCCGCAGAAGAAGCACCGGCUAACUCCGUG